rnacentral:tRNA from 1 species
AGCAGCGUGGCUCUGUGGAAAGAGCACGGGCUUGGGAGUCAGAGGUCAUAGGUUCGAAUCCCGACGCUGCUA